rnacentral:rRNA from 1 species
AGAGUUUGAUCAUGGCUCAGAACGAACGCUGGCGGCGUGCCUAACACAUGCAAGUCGAGCGCGAAAGGGGGGGGCAACUCCCCCGAGUAGAGCGGCGCACGGGUGAGUAACGCGUGGGUAACCUACCCCCCGGCGGGGGAUAACUACUCGAAAGGGUGGCUAAUACCGCAUGAGACCACGGGGUCCUCGGACCCUGAGGCCAAAGGCCGCUUCGGCUUGCCGGAGCGGUCACCGGAGGAUGGGCCCGCGUCCGAUUAGCUAGUUGGUGAGGUAACGGCUCACCAAGGCUACGAUCGGUAGCUGGUCUGAGAGGACGAUCAGCCACACUGGAACUGGAACACGGUCCAGACUCCUACGGGAGGCAGCAGUGAGGAAUAUUGCGCAAUGGGGGAAACCCUGACGCAGCAACGCCGCGUGGGUGAAGAAGGCCUUCGGGUCGUAAAGCCCUUUCGGACGGGACGAACGCUCCGCGGUGACAACCCGCGGAGCUUGACGGUACCGUAGGAAGAAGCACCGGCUAACUCCGUGCCAGCAGCCGCGGUAAUACGGAGGGUGCAAGCGUUGUUCGGAAUUACUGGGCGUAAAGCGCGUGUAGGCGGCCUUGCAAGCCAGACGUGAAAGCCCUCGGCUUAACCGGGGAAGUGCGUCUGGAACUGCUCGGCUCGAGUACGGGAGAGGGAGGCGGAAUUCCCAGUGUAGAGGUGAAAUUCGUAGAUAUUGGGAGGAACACCGGUGGCGAAAGCGGCCUCCUGGACCGAUACUGACGCUGAGACGCGAAAGCGUGGGGAGCAAACAGGAUUAGAUACCCUGGUAGUCCACGCUGUAAACGAUGGGCACUAGUGUGGGGGGUAUCCACUCCUCCCGUGCCGCAGCUAACGCAUUAAGUGCCCGCUGGGGAGUACGGCGCAAGGUUAAACUCAAAGAUG